AAGACCUUGCGCUUUUGGAGCGGCCGAUGUCUGAUUAGCUUGUUGGUGAGGUAAGGCUUACCAAGGCUUCGAUCAGUAGCUGGUCUGAGAGGACGACCAGCCACACUGGGACUGAGACACGGCCCAGACUCCUACGGGAGGCAGCAGUGGGGAAUUUUGGACAAUGGGGGAAACCCUGAUCCAGCCAUGCCGCGUGAGUGAAGAAGGCCUUCGGGUUGUAAAGCUCUUUCAGCCGGAACGAAACGGUUACGAUUAAUACCUGUAACUACUGACGGUACCGGAAGAAGAAGCACCGGCUAACUACGUGCCAGCAGCCGCGGUAAUACGUAGGGUGCGAGCGUUAAUCGGAAUUACUGGGCGUAAAGCGUGCGCAGGUGGUUUUGUAAGUCAGAUGUGAAAUCCCCGGGCUUAACCUGGGAACU
rnacentral:rRNA from 1 species